rnacentral:tRNA from 3 species
GGGGCUAUAGCUCAGCUGGGAGAGCGCUUGAAUGGCAUUCAAGAGGUCAGGGGUUCGAGCCCCCUUAGCUCCACCA